AUUCAUUUAGUAUAUAAAGUAUAAUUAACUUCCAAUUAAAAGGUUUAAAAAAAAUGAAUA
rnacentral:tRNA from 1 species